UAGCUCAAUUGGUAAAGAGUCUGCCUGCAAAGCAGGAGACCUAGGUUCGAUUCCUGG
rnacentral:tRNA from 1 species